UAGGGAAUCUUCCACAAUGGACGCAAGUCUGAUGGAGCAACGCCGCGUGAGUGAAGAAGGUCUUCGGAUCGUAAAACUCUGUUGUUAGAGAAGAACACGAGUGAGAGUAACUGUUCAUUCGAUGACGGUAUCUAACCAGCAAGUCACGGCUAACUGCGUGCCAG
rnacentral:rRNA from 1 species